GAUGAACGCUGGAUGUGUGCCUAAUACAUGCAUGUCGAACGAAGCACUUGUGCUUAGUGGCGAAUGGGUGAGUAACACGUACUUAAUCUGCCCUCAAGUUUGGGACAACAGUUGGAAACGACUGCUAAUACUCUAUAUGCCUUUAAGACAAAAGUCUGCAAGGGAAAUAUUUAUAGCUCUAGGAUCGGCCUGUACGGUAUCAGCUAGUUGGUGAGGUAAUGGCUCACCAAGGCAAUGACGCCUAACUGGUUUGAGAGGAUGAUCAGUCACACUGGAACUGAGACACGGUCCAG
rnacentral:rRNA from 1 species